rnacentral:lncRNA from 1 species
CUUCCGGGGCUCUCACUCCAUACCUCCCCACAAGCUGAGGGAGCCGGCUCCGGCCUCAGCCAGCCCAGAAAGGGGCUCCCACAGUGCAGCGGGCUGAAGGGCUCCUCAAUAGCGACCAGAGUGGGCACCAAGGCCGAGGAGGCACCAAAAGCGAGUGAGGGCUGCGAGGGCUGCGAGGGCUGCCAGCACAUUGUCGCCUCUCAGUAGGGUCUUUGAGAGACAAGGUAUUUCACUGUAACAGACAUCAGACUAAAAGGAUCUUGCUAUGAUUCCCAGGCUGAUCACAAACUCCUGACCUCAAGCAACCCUUUCACCUCAGCAUCCCAAAGUGCUGGGAUUACAGGAUGAUCCACUAUGUCUGGCCCAUAAAUAGGAGGGAACAAGUAAAAACAUGGCAAUAUGGCAAAACAAUGAAACAUUUGUUAAUGAAUUGAAAACAGCAAAACUGGAAGUUUCCUAGACAUCCGUGUUCUUAAAGGAAACCACGAAUUUCUGAAGGAAAUGUUGAAGACACAGGGAAGGGCAGAAUAAAAGCAAAGAAUCCUUGAGACUGUCAACAGAGCUCUGGCGGGCCUUAAGGAAUGCACAUCUAGCAGACUCUCAAGUCCCUAAUGAUAUUUUGGAAGACUUUCUGGCUACUUUGCAACAACCUGAGUAUUUUUGGUACUAUUAAGGGGUCUUAAACCUCCUUAAGUCAAAUGCCAUUUCCCAGGCAAAGAUACGGUACACACUGCUACCAUAGGCAAGAAAGUAAUUUUGUAAAUCCGUUGUCUCCAAGAAUUUAAAGUGGUCGUCAUCUUAAGUGGGUGCUUAAACCCAUAUAGACGUGGUGUUUGAGAGGCAUGUGGAAAUGUAAGCAGAAAAAAGAAAGCAAAUAAGAUAGCAAAAAUAAGUUCUAAUAUAUUAGCAAUGUAUU